rnacentral:rRNA from 1 species
ACGGCCCUACGGGUUGUAAACUGCUUUUGCAGGGGAAUAAAAUCCCGGACGCGUUCCGGGGCUGAAUGUACUCUGAGAAUAAGGAUCGGCUAACUCCGUGC